UCCCCUGGGGCCACCACCUGGCUCAGCUCCUGCCCUGCUGCAGAGGGGCCGGGAAAACCUGACCGCAGCGACGCAUCCCAGCGACAUUACGUUCCUUUGGGACGUUUUGGAAGCGCUUUAGGGCGCUGCUCACCCAGCAGCUCCUGCAGAAACCAAGAAUUUUGACGUCCUGGUGGGAGGCUGGGGCCGGAGCCUGGGAGCAGCCGGGGGUGGUAGCGUAAGUGGCUGGGGCCGGAGCAAGGAGCAGAAGAGGCUGGAGCUGGGCUCGCACCACAGGCGGGGUUCGGUUCUGGUUUCUCCCCCCAACCCCCCGAGGGGUAAUUCCUCCCUAACCCUGCUGAGGGGUGCUCGCUGCCGGCCCUGGGGGUGACCCUGGGGAUCGCUGUCCCUGCUGUCCCUACCAGGGCCACCGACCCCGUCCCCGCUGACCUGCACCCCUCGUCCCCCCAGGCUCACUUCAGGCGAGACGAGUUCCUGGGGAGGAUCAACGAGAUCGUCUAUUUUCUCCCUUUUUGCCACUCGGAGCUCAUCCAGCUUGUCAACAAGGAGCUGAAUUUUUGGGCCAAGAAGGCCAAGGCGAGGCACAACAUCACCCUGCUGUGGGACAGGGAGGUCAUGGACGUGCUGGCCGACGGCUACAACUUGCACUACGGUGCCCGGUCAAUCAAACACGAGGUCGAGCGGCGCGUGGUGACCCAGCUGGCGGCUGCCUACGAGCAGGAGCUGCUGCCCAGGGGCUGCACCCUGAGGAUCGUGGUGGAGGACUCGGACCAGCAGCUGCUGAAAA